rnacentral:rRNA from 1 species
UACGUAGGGUGCAAGCGUUGUCCGGAAUUAUUGGGCGUAAAGAGCUCGUAGGCGGUCUGUCGCGUCUGCUGUGAAAACCUAGGGCUUAACCCUGGGCCUGCAGUGGGUACGGGCAGACUAGAGUGCGGUAGGGGAGACUGGAAUUCCUGGUGUAGCGGUGAAAUGCGUAGAUAUCGGGAGGAACACCCGUGGCGAAGGCGGCUCUCUGGCCUGUAACUGACGCUGAGGCGCGAAAGCGUGGGGAGCAAACAGG